ACACCGGCUGGAUGGCGUCUUUAAGAGUGUGCAAAAGUUAUCAGAAAAGUUGUCUGAAUGCAAACGCGAUUUUUGAAGCCGCAUCUGCUGAUUAGGUGGACCAACCGAGUGCUCCUCGCCACACAAAUUGUCCGUGGAAUUGGGGCCAAACACAGCUCAGAACGCAUAUAAACCGUGCGCCAAACUUGCGCUCUUUGCCAAUUUUCAUUUCCGUGGGAAAAUCGGAACGGGCGGCAUCCUGCAAUAAUGGAUAUUUUUGAUAUGGUCAAAGCGGCGCCGCCGCCCCAAACCAUUAAUCCGGUGAACACCAAGAUCUCCACUCCGUCACCGAUACCGCCCGAUUCGCCAAUCGACACAACUGACCUCCUGGAGAGUGGAAACCAAUCGAGCGAGGAUGACUUGCACAGCAAGCCAGCGAUUCAAGAUGAUCAAAUCACCGGGGGAAAAUCAGACGACAUCUGUGAAGUGACAGACCCAGAAAUACGCCUAAACAUGCCGAGGAAAUCGAAGAAAAUCGAGCAGUCCGAGGACUACGGCACAGAUUUGUUGGAUUUGGAGAAAUCCGAUGAGAAUAUCGACAAGUCACCGACCAAGAAGAGGCGUAAGAGCGUGUCCACCUCGAAACCGAACAAAACCAAGAAAUCCACUGUGACGGAGAAGGCAUCCACGCCGCGCAAGGGGAGCCCAACAGAGUCUAGGGAAGAUGACGAGGACGCCGAAGAGGAUCAGCAAUUAAUGCUGGUCAAUCCAACCAAGACGAAGGCGCAGCAGAAGAUGUUCAGCGAUCAGCAGUCGCCGAACUUUAAUAGGAAGUUGCGGGUGCUAAUGCGUCGCCUGAGGCAGCCGGAAAUUGAUUCGGCCGUCGAAUCGUUGGCCAAUUCAUCAUUUGUCAAUAUGAUCGAGAUCGCUAACCAGAGCGGCAUAAGGAGACGCGGCAGGCCCAAAAAAGGAAAGAGGAACUCGUCACCCCAGAAACCCAAUUCAUCACCAACACGGACCAAUUUCCAUAUCAAAGUUCCUUUGCAGAAUGGCGCCAAGAAGCGUGCCGUAAAUCAUGCGUCGCGCACCCAUACACCACCUCCCAGUUUAGCCAAGAGGGCUAGGAACGCACAGUCCUCACCGAAGCGAAGUAACAAGCCCAAAAUCAAGUCGAAGAGAGAAUCAAGUCGGGGACGCAAUGCCGAUCUGGCUUUGGUUGAGCGUUAUGGCGCGCGUUUUUUUGGCUGCGUGGUGAAGGUCAAGAGAACGCGCCUACCCACCAAAUGGCCGGAUUGCAGUCCGCGUCCCAUUGGCGGGCUAAGGAAGGGACAUCCCAAGAAGGCGGUGUCCUUCAGCGAGGCCGUCGAGAUUCUGGGCAGCCCCGAGGGCCCCUCCCGCCGCGCGACCUUUGGUUCGAUUUCAUCGAAAGGUACUCCGAAACCAACACGCCUGCAGCGCGUGGAUGCCACCGGCAAUGUGCUGGAGGACAUAGCACUGACCUCGACGCCGCUCUUCACGCCAUCCGCUGGCACAUCGACUUCUGGAGGAUCCCGCGAGCGGGGUAGGCGCCGCUCAUGCAACGGCUCACCCAUGGGCGAACGUCUCAAGCGCUCCAACCAGCGUCUGCAGCUCUCGAGGAUAGCCCGCCUGAGCAUAGAUGACAGCUCCAGGUCUGGUGGCGAUGAUGAGGACGAGGAGUAUAUCGUGCCCAACGAUGUGCCGGGAACCCAGAGAUCUGCAACGCCUCCACCCAAGAAAAAGAAAAUAUCCUUCACGACGACCAUCAGUGAUGAUGAGGACGAAAAGCCGGUCCCAAAAAAGCAGAAGGAUGCACAAAAAAAGCAGGCAAAACCCCACAAAGAAAGCACAAACAAAAAGACGGACAACACGCUAAAGGAAAAGGAGACGACUGAGAAAACGCACACGGAAAAUGAGAAAAAUACGGAAAACUCCAAGGAGGUUGUUAAGGAAAAAGUUCCGCUACCUGCAAUGGAAAUUGAAUCCGCCAAGAAAGAGGAAAUCAAACCACUAGCGGAGGAAAUCCAAUCACAAGAGGAAGAGGGAGAGGGAGACGCACACGCACACGAAGCUGAAGCAAAUGAAGUAGAAAGAGAUAGAGAAGAAAUUGUGGAUGCAACAGAGAAAAAUUCGGAUGAACCUACUCAGCAGCAGGCGGAGGAACUAGAAGAAGAUCAGCCAGAGCUAAAAGAGGCCGACAAUUCGGAGACAACAACGGAAGUUGCUCAAGAGGAAGUUCUGCAAGACGAGGAUGCGGAAAAUGUGGACGAAAAUGCGGUUGAAACCACUGAAAGCCCCAAGGAGUCUCCGGAAAAACCAACGACCGAAGACAGGCUUGAGAAAGUGGAGAAGGAGGUCGAGCAGACUGAGGAUUUUAGUGAUAUGCCGACACCACCACAGCUCCCGUCCACAACUGACGAUAACCAAGACGACGUCCUGGAGAUCCAGACGUCCUUGGACGAUGUCCGUCAAUUGCAUACGCCACCAUCCCGCCUCAGUACGCCCAAGCCCCGCGUCCGCCUCGAUUCUGCUGACUCCGAUUGCAGCUUUAAGUCCGCCAGCGAUCACGGCAAGCAGCUAACUGGACAAGCAAUAGAGGAAGCUCAGCAAGAAGAAACCAAGCCAGCGGAAGAAGAGGAUCAACAACCAGCAGCAACCAUCAUCGACGACCCCAUCGAGUCAGCCGAACUUCCUGCCGAGCUUAUGACCCCGCCCAUGGCGGCCACGACUGUGAAUGGUGAGCCCACCAGCGGAUCCAGUGCAACGGUGCCAUAUUACUCGCCCAUGGAGACCAUGGCCACGCUGGAUGACGAGGUCCUGGGCCAGCUAGUCGAGCCCGACUUUCAGUUGAACUCCAGCCGCCAUGCCAUCUCCAGGGGUACACUGGACGAAAUAAUGACCGCGUUAGAAUCCUAGAAAGCGGGCAGAACACCAAGACGCACCAAGUACAGAUACAUCUAAACCGAAGCAUACACAGGCCUAGACCCAAACACACACACAAUGGUUUAUAAGGAACCGAUUAAUUUCUACAUUCAACGGAAAUUAUGAUGCGUUCUCCCUCUGAUCAAGAAAUAGUCAAAGCAAAGGGUGCAAGCUUGAGCAUUUUGCACUUGAAUGAUUGCUGAUCUAGUCAGCUGAACAUGGACAUAAAUCAACACAACUCACUCACUCAAUUUGCGAAUGUGCGUUAAGACAGUGGAAUAAAAUUAGUAAGGACAGUUGGAAGGCAAAUUAAGAUUUAAUCAGAGAAUCAAUUUUCAAUGUUUAAGCUACUUAACAGAUCGUUAUGUUAAUUGUACUUUAAAAAAUACUUAUUGUUCUUUUCUCCCUUUUUUUUGACAACCUAGAUUUUAUAAAACUAAAGCUGCGU
rnacentral:misc_RNA from 1 species